GAAGGCGGUGACGACUCGGAAUAUAUCAAGCUCAACAGACCGGAAUGAGCCGUUUCCUUUUUACUAGGGAUUCGUUUCUGUGUCGAUAAUCCCGCUGAACUGAGCCUUC